GACGGAGGAUGCAAGCGUUAUCCGGAAUGAUUGGGCGUAAAGCGUCCGCAGGUGGCAGUUCAAGUCUGCUGUCAAAGACCGGGGCUUAACUUCGGAAAGGCAGUGGAAACUGAAGUGCUAGAGUGCAGUAGGGGUAGAGGGAAUUCCCGGUGUAGCGGUGAAAUGCGUAGAGAUCGGGAAGAACAUCGGUGGCGAAAGCGCUCUGCUGGACUGCAACUGACGCUGAGGCGCGAAAGCGUGGGGAGCAAACAGG
rnacentral:rRNA from 1 species